UACGUAGGGGGGCAAGCGUUGUCCGGAUUUAUUGGGCGUAAAGAGCUCGUAGGCGGUUUGUCGCGUCUGCUGUGAAAACGCGAGGCUCAACCUCGCGCCUGCAGUGGGUACGGGCAGACUAGAGUGCGGUAGGGGAGAUUGGAAUUCCUGGUGUAGCGGUGGAAUGCGCAGAUAUCAGGAGGAACACCGAUGGCGAAGGCAGAUCUCUGGGCCGUAACUGACGCUGAGGAGCGAAAGCGUGGGGAGCGAACAGG
rnacentral:rRNA from 1 species